AUGUGGCCUGUGCUUUGGACCGUGGUGCGCACCUAUGCUCCUUAUGUUACAUUUCCUGUGGCCUUUGUGGUUGGGGCUGUGGGUUACCACCUGGAAUGGUUCAUCAGGGGAAAGGAUCCACUUCCUGUGGAGGAAGAAAAGAGUAUCUCAGAGCGCCGGGAGGAUCGUAAGCUGGAUGAACUUCUAGGCAAGGACCUUACCCAGAACACUGGAAAUGGUGUUGCUGGCAAGGAGAGUGACACAGAAGCUGGAACCCAGUGGUGUGGAGCAGCUCUCAGAGACCAGCCUGCUGUGCUACUGAGGUGCUGUGAUGAUGUGUCCUAUCCCCACCAAAGCCCAAAGUGCCAGCUGUGCCCACUAGGCAGAAGGACACAUGCCUUGCUUGUCAGUGCCGAGGGUCCGAGGGGCUGCUGCUGUCUUUCCUGCUUGCGUGGAUCCGUGGAGAUGCCCCUGCCAGAGAAUCCAGUUGUAACACCUCAGACUGAGGUAGCGGGAGGAGGAGUUCAAAAGAUCAGCAUCACCCUCAUUUUCAAGAUGAACAAACCAAGUGUGAUGCAUACCCAGGGAACACAGGCUUGUCUCAUGAUGCAAGCAAACACAUUCAUGUCGGCCAUAUAUCAAUCUCACCUGACAACUAUCGUGGACUUUAUCUGAGGAAAUAGGAGGAAACUGCCCACCACUGUGACCUUUGGGCUUCUCUGUACUCAUUUGCCUGUGGAGGUAUCAGCUGCUGUGGCUUGAAGGUCCCAGAUAGAUUUAAGUUUUCCCAGAGUCUUUAUGCUUGGAUUUCUUAAAGAUUCAUCAUCAACAGAUCAGGAAAAUGUCCGCA
rnacentral:lncRNA from 1 species